rfam:Melipona quadrifasciata isolate 0111107301 unplaced genomic scaffold scaffold58, whole genome shotgun sequence.
ACCCCACACAAUUAAGCCGACAAUUUCAAUGUAUUCCAAUUGGAACUGUGUGCUCGUUGUGGGAACAGCAAAGUCUGCUAAUGGUGUAUGAUUGUAUUUGUUAUUACGGUAUAAUCAAAGAAUUGAUGCAGGACA